rnacentral:rRNA from 2 species
AAUCUCUAUAGAGCGUCGCAAUGACUCUCGGCAACGGAUAUCUCGGCUCUCGCAUCGAUGAAGAACGUAGCGAAAUGCGAUACUUGGUGUGAAUUGCAGAAUCCCGUGAACCAUCGAGUCUUUGAACGCAAGUUGCGCCCGAAGCCGUUUGGCCGAGGGCACGUCUGCCUGGGCGU